rnacentral:rRNA from 1 species
AGGCAGCAGUGGGGAAUCUUCCGCAAUGGGCGCAAGCCUGACGGAGCAACGCCGCGUGAGUGAAGAAGGGUUUCGACUCGUAAAGCUCUGUUGUCGGGGACGAAUGUGGAGGUUGUGAAUAACAGCUUCCAAUGACGGUACCUGACGAGGAAGCCACGGCUAACUAC